AUGGGCGACGGGAUGGCUCCUCAGGUGGAUGGGGUGGACGGAAGGUUAAGAAAUCUCAAGCUCACAGACGCAGAAAAGAAAAGCAUCAAGAUAGGGAAGAAACAGUCUUGCUCCCCGGAGGUGAGUAAGCUUCAGGCUGUGGGUAAGCUCUUGUCUGAAAAACCAGCAAAAGCAGAGUAUUUAGGAAGAGCGUUAAGUGGUGCUUGGUGCCCUUUCUCUAGGGUGGAAUGCAAGGGUCUGGGUAGAAAUCGCUUCCUGUUUCAGUUUCAUGAUGAUGUGAGCAAGAACAAAGCAAUAAGAGGUGGACCCUGGAUGUUUAACAAAGAUUUACUGGUGAUGGAAGAUUUUGUGCCAAGCAAAACUAUAGAUGACUAUGAAUUUAAGUCGAUUCCUAUAUGGGUGAGAGCAUAUGGCAUACCAAUGGGAAUGAUGAGCACAGAAACAGGGGAACUA
rnacentral:rRNA from 1 species